UCAAAACUUGUAGCUGUGCCUGAAGGAACU
rnacentral:piRNA from 1 species